GCAACGGCGCCGUUAGCUGUUGUGCAUUCGCGCUUGCGGGUGAAUUAACUGAUAGAAGGAUCAUAUCGAUG
rnacentral:sRNA from 1 species